GUGGUGGUGGUAUGAACACGGUUUCCUGCAGUCUCGACAUCCUGGGCUCAAGUGAUCCUUCCACCUUAGCCCCUCAAGUAGCUGGGACUACAGGUACAUGCCACCAUAUCUGGCUAAUUUUUGUAUUUUUUGUCGAGAUGGGAUUUUACCAUGUGGCCCAAGCUGGUUUUGAACUCCUGAGCUCAAGGGAUCUACCCGCCUUGGGCUCACCACAAGAGUUGAAGCCCCUCUCAGUCUUGUUUGUCGAUGGACCCUCAGCAACUGAAACAGUGUCUGGUGUGCGGUAGCUGUUCAAUAAAUAUCUGUUGAACAAAUGAAUGGACAAAUCCUGCUAGUUAGUCCCAGAACCGGGGUACUCAGGCUACCUUAAUAAAGCAGUAUGUGCUGAAAUGCCCAGCACAGCACGGAUGGUUUUCGCAUUCAUUUGGAUUGCCCUCUGCUCAAACUGUGAGCUCCUCAAAGACUGGCAGCGUUCCACAACCCUCUCACUGGUGAGCACCUCUGAUGGCUCCACGUCCAAUCUGCCCCAUUGUUGUGGCUGCGAGAGCUGUUCAGGGUCAGUGGAAUGACCACCGCAGCAGAUGGGCGUUGGGCACAGGGUCCCUGCGCUUCCAGGCAGCUUACUUCCAAAGGCAUGGCCAUUUCACAACAUGCUUCUCCUCCUGGAUCUACCUACAGCAAAGCUGGGACUAUAGGCAUGGAUUUCCUAAGACUUGCUUUCAUUUCGAAAUUGUUUUUAAGAAAGAAAAAGGAAAAGCAUCUCCCCACAAUGGAAAAGCUACUUUGUGUCUCAUCUCCGAGUGGAGCUGACCUGGAUAGUCAUCCCCUGGUUCCUAGGUGGGGCAGGUGCUAACUGGCGGGUGGGCAGGGAUGACGCCCAUAGGAAUGUUGACAAACUGGGUUUUGUGAAUCUCCUGAAGCUCAGAACUCUGAUGGCAUCGAUUCUUGGUGGCUCUUCCUCCCUUCUCUUCCCUUUAUCCCAAGGCCUGGCCAUCGGAUCCUAGAACUUGCAACUGAGAAGGGGGAGACCCGGCUUCCAUGUGGAGGACACACAAUUUCCUUGUGUGUCUGUGAGGGUGACUGUUGGGCCUCUCCUGGAGCCUCAGAGGAGAAGGACUCGCUUGUCUGUGGGUGAAUUUGGAAGGAGAACCUGGGCAUACAGAGCCCAGUCCUUCUUGGGAGCUGACUACCCACACACUGCUCUAUCUCUUCCAGCCAUGCAUGUUAUGGGGCCUGGUCCCCUGUGGGUGGCCCAUGGUGGCCUAGAGCUGCCUCUGCCGGGGGCACAUUCGUCUAAUUCCAUCAUGCAGUUUUAGGCAGUCCGCUUGCCUGUAGAUCGAGGCCAUGUCCUCCAACGAUGGCUUUAUCGGCAACAAAACUUACAGGUUUCGUCUCCCUUGUCUCAUUCCCUGGCCCCUUCACACUGCAACCAGCACCUCUGCUGGCUCCCAGGCUGCUCCGCUGGAGCUGAAAAGAAUGAAUACCCAUCUUCAGCAACUGUAUCUUUCCCCCUCUUAACUUACGCUCAGGAAUCAAGCUUCCCCUAAAUAAUGAAUUGGACUGCAUUCUCUAACCAUACUGGCUCCCAAAACAUUGGAAGCCAGAUUUACUGGGUCCAAAUGUUUAUGUUUAUGGUUAGUUACAGCAAAGAGACUUUGUCAUUAGUAAAAGUGUUUUAAUUUAAGGCAGGAAGUUGGUUAUGGCUCCUUGAAGACAUCUGCCUACAUUGCCUGGUUUCUAUCCCUGUAUCUGACACCCAGAGAGCUUAAUAAACAUUUCUGUCCCAUCAAUGUGGUUGAUUGAAUGAGCCAGGACUUUUUCCUUUAUAACUCUCCAAAGCAAUGAGCUCUCAGCAAAACAGGACCAACCAAGACUCAGCUGAAUGUUUAUCCCGGGAGACUUACAAUGCAGAUCCUACCUAUUCAAGUUGAAUCCAGCUCUUUAUGUUUUAAUUACUUCUUGUUAUUCUCAUUUUCUUUUCCCCAUCAUCCUAAUGUGUUUAACAUGUCUGCUU